AAGACGACUUUCAUCAGUCUUACUUGUGGGCCAGGAAGAAGAUGAAGACAAAGUCAUGGAGACGGGGGAGAAAAUAAAAGUUCCCAGGGCAUGAGUUGGAGCAAAUGGGGGUUAUGGUCUAACUCUCAUGACUGCUAUGAUUCAGCAGUUCUGUGUCUAGAACAUACUCGAAUGUUGAAGAGCUGUGCUGACAAUCAGCCUUUCACAACUAUGCUGUGAAACAAUCAUCUUCAGAAUAAAACCAUCAAAACUUCA